CGGAAUUAGAAAUGGUUGACCAACUUGAUCUUCCACACAAUGGCUCACCAAUAUGAUCUCGUGUUACUUUGCCGCUCAAACUUUUUCAUCCCCAACCAAGCAUUUGUUAAGAAUCCUCGGCCAAACAUGAUUGACAUAUGGUAUUCAAUCCAGGAAUUUAAUAGAUUUUGAGAGAAUUCAUAAAUAAUAAUUUUUGUAGUAGUUUAAAAAAUUCGCUGAUAUUUUAAUACAUUUACAUAAUUCUCAUGUUUAUUUUUUUUUAAGAAUUUUAAAGGAAUGCACAUGAAUUAGAAACACAUCUGGAAACAUAUGGUACAACACCCGAAAGUGUUGAGAAUCUUUACUUAAUACCUUCUGUAUGCAUCGUUCUCCGAGCAUUGUGACUGGUCGGCGAAGGAGGCGUUGGGUUCUAUAGAAUGUUAACCUAGGAGACGCUUUUUCUAGAAACCAUCACCACCAUAAGAAAUAUGCUCGCAUCAAAAUCAUCAUUUUUUGUUUCUUCGAUAUCCGUCAUGAUGUCUCCCUCUUUGCGAAAAUUUUGAUUCACGAAAAGGAAACCUAUCAAGUUUGUUGUCCGUGUGUUUUGUUUAGUUUUGUUUAGAAAAACUGAAAGUUUGUUGUCGGUGUGUUUUG
rnacentral:lncRNA from 1 species